rnacentral:lncRNA from 1 species
UCUCAAAGAAAUAAAGAUGUUACCUAAUUUUUCUGAACUAAAUACUCACCUUGCUUUAGGACACCUUGAUGUGAUUACCAGUAGGAUCCAUGUAAUAUAUAAGAUUCCUCAGAUUAAAUCUGAGGACUGUUUCCUAUUUUUUCAUGAACUACGCUCUCUCUCAGCUGUAACAAAGGCACAAAGAGCUUAGGUCCUCCCAAUGGCAAUGUCUGCAAGGAAACUACCAUGGGAAAGGGCUGGCUGGAAAACAAGAAUACUCUGCUGUUGGAAACGGUGUAAUUUUGUUCAUUUCCAUUCCAGUGCAGAAGUGGCUGAGCAAUGUAUCUCGGAGCAGCUGCUCACCUGGGAUUUAGGGCAAUGAUCUCAACACUGCAGCCUUUUAAUGUGCAAAAAAAGAUCAGUGGUUAAUUUGCUACCCUGGAUCGGGUGGAUUACUCUCUGCUGUUCUUGCUGAGCCUUUCUCAGAAGGCUUUCCCAGGGUCAAGAUGAUCAAACCCUGGGGGAGAUGAGCCGACAGCAGCCCGCAGUCUGGGAUUAGGACCCUCUCCAGGGAACACGAGAACACUAUUUAGGCAGAGCAGAAAUUUCACUGCUGCUCAUGACCCAAACUCUUAGCUAUUCUGGAACCUUACUUCAGCAGGUUUCCUAUGUAUUUAAGAAAUCUCAUAUAAAAUUUUAUCGGAGCUGUUUCUGUGCGUGAGGUUUGCUGCUAUCACACUGAGCUACUGAACAUCUCGCUCCGUUGCUAACUGACUGGAGAGGAGUAGAUUUUAGGGAAACCAGUGCCCAGCUAAUGAGGAAAGCACUCUUUGCUGUGGACAAAGGACACGGUAGGCUGAUCUAUCAGCAAGCACAAGAAGAUAACCACUGCUUACCAGCACCUUUUUUUUCUCACAUUCCUGUGAUUAAUGCAGCAUACAAUUAGAGAGCCUAACCGGGCAGAAGUUUUGCAUCAGAGUCAAAGUGAGUGAGUUUUAGGAUGCAUAGUGUUUAUUUCCCCUUCAAACAUGUCUUUUGUUUUGUGCGUUUUAGGCUUCAUCUUAUCCUGUUGCCUUGUCUGUUGCUAGGUCAGUCUGCCAAAAAUAGGGAUGGUUGGGCCUUGGGAUAUUUGCCUGUGUUUCUGAAACCCUGGUACACAGUACACCUCACCAACUCAAAUUCAUUUCUCCCAGGCAAGGUGUACAGCAUAUAUGUUGUGCCUUUGGUGACAGAAAUGAGGAUUAAAAGCACUGAAGUUUCUGCAACUCCAUCUCUUCAAGCACUUUCUGAUAAUUCUACCAUGAAAUUAAAAAAACAGCAGGACCAGAGCAAACCUCACUAGGAAAUCCCGGACUGUUGAGAGCGGCAGAGUCAACGAUCAGAGUGAUGUGCAAUGUAACAUCAGCAGAAGUUAUUAAUGCCUACAUGCAAUUUAUGAGUGCAAUCAAAUAUGUGGAUGACAAGAAGUUGGGGAAAAGCUGCAAUAUCCCAGGAAACAAUCUGCAUUAUUAAGAACAUAACUCUGGUGAAAGUAUGAUUAGCAUACAAAACUGCAGACACUUCACUUCAAGAUCCUCCUCAAUGUCUCUUCUUCAGAACAGGAAGCACGGUUAAGCCCAUUAGAAACUGAACUGUACUUUGAGGUUUCACAAAUACGCUUCCAAGGAAAUGUGCAGAAACAUAUUGAUAGAGGAGUAUGCAAAGCUGAAAGUGCACAGUAAUUUUUGUGCAGUCAUUGGGGUGGGUUUGAUGGGCUUGGGAAAGCAUCAGAUUGGGGCUCUUCUGGCUCGUUUAUUACACGCUAGUUCCAUAUGUUCAUCCAUAGUUUCAAAUGGCAUAGAAACAACUAUUUCCAAAGCUAGUCUGUUAUUACUGUUGGUAUACAAGCCACAUUUGUCAGAAGCUUUCUUAGAAGUUGCGUAGUCAGCCAAGUCUCUUGAACCUUAGGAGAAUUCAGGUGUAGACUACAUUCGUUUUUGGUUUUGGAUCCCUGUUGCAUGGAAACGCAUAAUCAAAUUGGGGAUGGGGAAAGAAGUACGACCAUGGAAUUUUGUCUGUUCAGAUUUACCAUUCAAGCUACUCUUACAAGGGAGAGAAUCUUCUCAUACAUUGUCCCAGCUCAGCAAAGCGCCAUUAAUAGGUAAUUUGCAUUUUGUAAGAAUGGUCCUACAAGUACAGCAAAAAAUGCACAGAAG